AGCAGCCGCCGCGGUAAUACGUAGGGUGCGAGCGUUAAUCGGAAUUACUGGGCGUAAAGCGGGCGCAGACGGUUACUUAAGCAGGAUGUGAAAUCCCCGGGCUCAACCUUGGAACUGCGUUCUGAACUGGGUGACUAGAGUGUGUCAGAGGGAGGUAGAAUUCCACGUGUAGCAGUGAAAUGCGUAGAGAUGUGGAGGAAUACCGAUGGCGAAGGCAGCCUCCUGGGAUAACACUGACGUUCAUGCCCGAAAGCGUGGGUAGCAAACAGGAUUAGAUACCCGGGUAGUCCCUGUCUCUUAUAC
rnacentral:rRNA from 1 species